rnacentral:rRNA from 1 species
UACGAAGGGGGCUAGCGUUGUUCGGAAUUACUGGGCGUAAAGGGCGCGUAGGCGGUGUGUCAAGUCAGGCGUGAAAGCCCCGGGCUCAACCUGGGAACCGCGCUUGAGACUGGCACGCUAGAGUUCGGGAGAGGAUGGUGGAAUUCCCAGUGUAGAGGUGAAAAUUCGUAAGAUAUUGGGAAGAACACCGAUGGCGAAGGCAGCCAUCUGGACCGACACUGACGCUGAGGCGCGAAAGCGUGGGGAGCAAACAGG